rnacentral:rRNA from 1 species
GACGAACGCUGGCGGCGUGCCUAAUACAUGCAAGUAGGACGCACAGUUUAUACCGUAGCUUGCUACACCAUAGACUGUGAGUUGCGAACGGGUGAGUAACGCGUAGGUAACCUGCCUAUUAGAGGGGGAUAACUAUUGGAAACGAUAGCUAAUACUGCAUAACAGUAUGUAACACAUGUUAGAUGUUUGAAAGAUGCAAUUGCAUCGCUAGUAGCUUGACCUUCGUGGUAUUAGCUAGUAGGUAGGGUAAAGGCCUACCUAGGCAACGAUACAUAGCCGACCUGAGAGGGUGAUCGGCCACACUGGGACUGAGAAACGGCCCAGACUCCUACGGGAGGCAGCAGUAGGGAAUCUUCGGCAAUGGGGGGAACCCUGACCGAGCAACGCCGCGUGAGUGAAGAAGGUUUUCGGAUCGUAAAGCUCUGUUGUUAAGGAAGAACGAGUGUGAGAAUGGAAAGUUCAUGCUGUGACGGUACUUAACCAGAAAGGGACGGCUAACUACGUGCCAGCAGCCGCCGCAG